ensembl:lncRNA
GUUACAGGACGCUCGCUAACGGUUAGCUGUAACUUCAGAUGAACGUUUACGUGAAAUGUAACGUUACUUCUUUAAAAACAGGUUUUGUCACACGAAAGAGUGGAAGAUCACGAUGACCUCAUGCACAUAUUUGCAGAGCAGAUCACGCCACUGGUGGAGUCCCACGGGCCUUACUUCCUGUCUGAGCUCAUCGAGGCUCAGGACGCAGAGAACCAUGCAGCUGUCUGCGAAGAAUGACAGGACAACAGAUCGCCCCACUCUCUCCCCUGCGGCGCAUGCUGACAUGUGUUCAUGCGACAUAUGGCAGAUGAGAGCUCAUGCCCUGCCAAGACAUACUCACACUGAACAUAUUGUGUCCAGACAUCUGUAGCAGUUUUGCCUUUUGUCUGAAUGUCCCGUCCAUUCAGCGGGACAACUGUACUACAUUGCCCAGGAGGAUUUAAAAAAAUAAUAAUUUUCCAGAGAAAAUUCAUAAAUUAUUAAAGAGGUGUUGUUUUUUCUAGGUUUCUAACUCUAACUCUAACUUUAUGAGAGUUUGAAAUUAUAUAUGGGUGAAUCUCAUGAAAUCUGUCAAGAGCAUCUCCAGGUCAUAUUUCACACCAAAAUCCAACAGAAAUAAGAAUGGAUUACGUUUUUGAAGAAAAAGACAACUAUUUUUAGUAACAUUUAGCAUUUUUUUAUCAUAAUUUUAUCUCAAAUUUGCAGAGAUUUGCAGAAAAAGCCUAAUAAUACCUAUUUUGAUGAUGCUAAGUUCAAAAAUACUAUUAAAACUUUCCAUCACAUACA